rnacentral:lncRNA from 1 species
UUGCCCAACCAUACACUAAUCCCCUCAUUUUCAUUUGGUCUGCUGCCUUUGAAAUCCCUCAUCUCUCAAACUCUCUCGAACCCUCUGGAAACCCUAGCCUCUCUCACCAUCUCCUACCUCAAGCUCACCGGAAAUCGUGGCUCCUCCAGCCAUGAUACCUUAUACUCACUCCCUAUUACUCCUGUGUGUUUGAUAUUUGAAGAAUGA